rnacentral:lncRNA from 1 species
AAAAAAAAGAUAUAGCAAAAAUACCGAUUUCAAAAAUAAAUUAAAAAAAGGGGAAGUGUACAAAAAUCAAACUUGUCAAUCAACGAAAUAAAGGCAACAGUAGUAUACCGCUGUUCGAAAUUCAUAAAUCGAUAGAGAACAAAUCCGAGUUACAAACCAAAACCGAGGGAAACGCAUCAAAUAUAAAUAAGAGAACUACGACACAACAGAAACACAACAUUAAAAUGUAACACACAGAAACGAACUAUAAUAUAACAAUGGCGAAACCCACUAUAUAAACCCUACUAUGUUUAAACCA